CAGAGGUCUCCCUUGGCUGCAUCUUCUAGUAAUUACACCUUAGCCUUGAGUUGUUUUUUUCUGAUUAGAGGAACAUAAGCUAGAAAUCAUCUACACACACCUUUUGAAUACUGUAAAUCAUUUCAAAGUGGUUUUAAGUUGAAAAGGAAUGGAUCAAAAUCUUUCUUAAAACAGUUCUGCAAAAUUUAAAUAAUGUCUUCCUCUUCCACACUAGCUCUGUGGAAACACCAGUGUUUAAGGCGGAGGAUUGUUCAAUUAAAAGUGAGCCAGGAAGGUCUCAUCCACAACAGAUUCUUUUAGUUUUAAAUGAAUAGGACAGUUGGCCCACUUUGAAUUGGAAGCCAAAAGUUCAGUUUGAGAUUACCCCAGGAUACUUUCUAUAUUGACCCCUUACUUUGUUUUUAUAAAAAGUCUUUUUUAUUCUUCAAAGGACAUCCUGUGGUCACCCUCACUACUUCGACAACUUCAGCUGGGCACUGGAGACAAGUUUAUUUGACAAAUUUAGUGGUGCUGGAAAGUGUCAGUAGUUG
rnacentral:lncRNA from 1 species